CCGAGACGUGCUGGUCACGGACUGCAGCACAUGAACAAGUCAGGAUCGAAUCGAUCGACUCUACACCUCUCGUCCACGGCCGACUUCUCAUAAAUAUCCAGCACCUCCAACUUGUCCGAUUUUUCGCAAAACGGAGAUCUCCCGUGCCCUAUCUUUCCCGUACGGACCGGUCGGAUCUCGCCGGAGUUCGCCGCUGCAGGAGCGCCCCGCUGGUCGAUUCCGUCGCGUUUGGAGACACCACAUCGAGCCCUAGGACCUCAGCCUGAAGCUUCAUGGAGGCAGCUCCGCUCCAGCCGGUCACUGUCACCACAGGAGCAAGCCCCAAUCGUCUCCGAGGUCACCUAAUUCAUCUCUGUGGCGUUCUGCAUCCGUCGGUGAUCUCUACGUAGCCGGAGGGCCCCUGUAGCCGUCGCUCACAUCACUACCGACCCGCCCUCGCCGUUCUUCUCCAAGUCCGGCGGCCAUCGAGCCCUGUCUCUCCGAUUGUCCGGAGUGUGAAGCGGAUCGGAAUUAAUCGUUAGAGUACUUCAACACCGCUCAAGGCAAGUUGCACUUUUGAUUAUGCUCAUCCUAUAUGUCUGUUGUGCAUUGUUAGGAUAUGUUAUAUGCUUGGUAUGACUCUUAUAUUGCUUGUCGCCAUGUGCGUGUCCUGUUUGCAUUGUUUAAGUGUAUGCUUGGAUUUGCUAUGGUAGACGUGGGUGUGUGUCGAGUGGUGCAUGGAAGUGGUGAGUCUUUAUAGCUGUAGGCUCGGGACUUUUUCUCGGGUGAACGCGUCAAUGGCUGAGCGCUCUAUUGUCCCUAGAGAAUGCGCCAUGACUGAGCGCACUUGGGUUGUCGGGGCUUUUUCUCAAGUGAAUGCGUCACUGGCUGAGCGCUCUAUUGUCCCUAGAGAAUGCGCCAGGACUGAGCGCACUUGAGACAUCUUGAAGAUCUUUAUCAUCUGUGUUGUUUGCACCUUGCCUGUGUCGUGGAGGUAGGUGAAGGUAGUUUUACGCGAAACCAACUUGAGUGUUUUGUUUGUCAUACUUUGCAGGUAGAUGUAGGUGUGCUUUAUCAUUAUGUGUAAUUUGCCAAUACAUUCAAUGUAUUGACCCUUUGUGGCUGCAACUUAUCAUGUUGCAGGAUAUUCAGGUGAUCAGUGAGAUACAGUAGGGUUGCGAGUCUUCACUCAGCAUUUUCGCCAGUGGGCAUUGAUGGGAUUCAUCGUUUAUUUUGCUACCUUUCCGCUGUUAUUAUUGAAUAAGUUACCCAUGUGCUAUUCAGUUUGUAAUAUUUUAUAAAUUCUGGAAUAUACGUUGUAGUAAAUGAUGCACUUGUUAUUUGAUAUUCAUAUGUACUGUGUGUGCUAGCGAGUCGAUCCAGGGACUAGCACAGUGAGCACAGAGACUCAAAUCCUUCGAGGUUUGGUCGUUACAGAUGGUAUCAGAGCAGUGUGUUGACUGUAAGUCGUGA